UAAAAAGAAGCUUUUAUAGAAGUAAUAUAGUUUUGUUAUAUUGAAGAAAAUUUUUUUCCUUUUUAA
rnacentral:tRNA from 1 species